GAUGAACGCUGGCGGCGUGCUUAACACAUGCAAGUCGAACGGAAAGGCCCAAGCUUGCUUGGGUACUCGAGUGGCGAACGGGUGAGUAACACGUGGGUGAUCUGCCCUGCGCUUCGGGAUAAGCCUGGGAAACUGGGUCUAAUACCGGAUAGGACCACAUUUUGGAUGGUGUGGUGGAAAGUUUUUCGGUGUGGGAUGAGCUCGCGGCCUAUCAGCUUGUUGGUGGGGUAAUGGCCUACCAAGGCGUCGACGGGUAGCCGGCCUGAGAGGGUGUACGGCCACAUUGGGACUGAGAUACGGCCCAGACUCCUACGGGAGGCAGCAGUGGGGAAUAUUGCACAAUGGGCGCAAGCCUGAUGCAGCGACGCCGCGUGGGGGAUGACGGCCUUCGGGUUGUAAACUCCUUUCGCUAGGGACGAAGCGCAAGUGACGGUACCUGGAGAAGAAGCACCGGCUAACUACGUG
rnacentral:rRNA from 1 species